GGUUGAGUCACCAUCCCUGGGUGUGUUUGAAAACCGUUUGGAUGUGGUGCUCAAGGACAUGAUUUAGGCUGUUCGGGUGGUAUGGUUAGUUUGAGGUUGGACUUGAUGAUCUUUAAGGUCUUUUCCAGCCUGAGCAAUUCUAUGAUUCUAUGAUUAUCUGGCAGGGCUUGGUUCUGGGGGAGCUGCUAGGUUUCAUUUAAAUCUGUCUGAUGCAAAAUAAAUUGAUUUUUGCCUCAUACUCAGCGGAUGUGAACUAUUUUCUGCAACAUUUUUGUUGUUGUUGUUGAGGAAAAUGAUCCUGCUGAAACCCCAUCACUCUUUCAUGUAAAACAGGGAAUUUCACUCUAUGUGCUAUGGGAACAACUGUGUAGUUGAUGGGCAUAACUCAUAGGGGUCUGCCUGCAUAGAAUGACACCCUGAGGUGGGGCUUGGGAUCACCAUUCUGCUCAUGUCUCUGAGGGGCCCUUAGAACCACCAGCACGGAUUGCUGGGGGCUGCCCUGGCUGUCCCACCGCCCCCUGCCUGGGCUAAGGGGGGUGGAAAGGCAAUGGCUGAAAUGUGAUGGGAGAGCUGCUGAAUGCCCAGGGGGUGCAGGGGGAAGGAGCUCAGGACCUCCUAAAAGCCCUCUCCCUCUGUUCCCCUAGCUAGGAUCCCAAAUUUGGCGAAGGUGAUCCUAAUCUUUGAGCAUCUUUAUUUGUUUCUAGAUUCUCCUUAGUAGAACCAGGCUCUCUGAAGCUGAAGUGGGUUGUGUUGGGCUGUGGCUUCUAAGUCGGAAAUGCCUAAUGUAGGUGGCUGGAUUUUGCACAGCAUAAAUUUAGCUGAAGCUGGGGAUUACAUCUAUUAUUGCAUUAUCACACACUUUCAUCUUAUUUUACUUUAUUUUAGCCUCAGCAAAAGAGAAGUGCUCUCUUGGCUGAGCUCUUUGGAGCCAUCAGAACCCAUCCCUACCCCAAGGGACUUCUCCUGUGGUCAGACAAAGAACCAGGAGAAAAAUAUAAACGUUCCAUGUAUCUGUACAUCCAUGCAAAUGAUUUAAAAAGAAAACACGCAAAAUUCUUCUAAAUUUCGUAUGUCACUGCAGAAAGAAGUUUUGAAAAGAUGAAGACCUGCUUAAUUUUAAAAUGACAACAUCCCGUCAACAACAGCCUUGCAUAUUGAGCGACACCGCAGCAACAGGUGAUGAGAAGUGCUUUGCAGUGACUAAUCCAAUUUUGUGCACUGGAUUUUAGAAGCUCUCCUGUAUCUUGACAUUUUUGUUUCAAGAAGCUAAUUAAAUUAUUGUAACAAUGAACAGAAUAGUUUAGUGUUUGUUUGGAUAGUUUGGAAUUUCCUGCUAACAACAGAGACUGGAUAUGACACAAUUCAGGAGCACUACUCAGACCACCAUGUUUUCCUUGGUCAAACAGACCAGUUUUGACAUUUUGUGUUCUACGCUUCAGCAUCACAAGCUGUCAGUUCCACUAAUUCAUGGUGUCUUCCUCAAGGAUUAGUACCACCUCUCCACAUUCUUCAGCACCACUAUUUUUACUGACAGGGCAUUACAGCUUACAAAAACAUACUUGCACAAUAUGGCUGUGGCAAGUAAAGUGGAACUGUCUACUUUAGGUUUUCAAAGCUUAAUGAAUAUAAUAAGUACCUUAUAUUUUCAAAUCAAAACAUUCAU